GUGGGGAAUCUUCCGCAAUGGACGAAAGUCUGACGGAGCAACGCCGCGUGAGUGAUGAAGGUCUUCGGAUUGUAAAGCUCUGUUAAUCGGGACGAAAGAGCCUAGUGUGAAUAAUGCUAGGAAGUGACGGUACCGGAAUAGAAAGCCACGGCUAACUACGUGCCAGCAGCCGCGGUAAUACGUAGGUGGCAAGCGUUGUCUGGAAUUAUUGGGCGUAAAGCGCGCGCAGGCGGAUCUGCCAGUCUGUCUUAAAAGUUCGGGGCUUAACCCCGUGAUGGGAUGGAAACUACAGAUCUAGAGUAUCGGAGAGGAAAGUGGAAUUCCUAGUGUAGCGGUGAAAUGCGUAGAUAUUAGGAAGAACACCAGUGGCGAAGGCGACUUUCUGGACGAAAACUGACGCUGAGGCGCGAAAGCCAGGGGAGCGAACGGGAUUAGAUACCCCAGUAGUCC
rnacentral:rRNA from 1 species